GUACUACUGAAGGGUUCCAAACUAGGACGAAACAGCUGUCCAGUAC
rfam:Trichobilharzia regenti genome assembly, scaffold: TRE_scaffold0002620